rnacentral:rRNA from 1 species
UACGUAGGGGGCUAGCGUUGUUCGGAAUCACUGGGCGUAAAGCGCACGUAGGCGGCCUUUCAAGUCAGGGGUGAAAUCCCGGGGCUCAACCUCGGAAUUGCCUUUGAUACUGUAGGUCUCGAGUCCGGAAGAGGUGGGUGGAAUUCCUAGUGUAGAGGUGAAAUUCGUAGAUAUUAGGAAGAACACCGGUGGCGAAGGCGGCCCGCUGGUCCGGUACUGACGCUGAGGUGCGAAAGCGUGGGGAGCAAACAGG